rnacentral:rRNA from 1 species
GUUACUGCUAUCGGUGUUCGCCUAAGCCAUGCGAGUCAUAUGUAGCAAUACAUGGCGUACUGCUCAGUAACACGUGGAUAACCUGCCCUUGGGUCCGGCAUAACCCCGGGAAACUGGGGAUAAUUCCGGAUAACGCAUAUAUGCUGGAAUGCCUUCUGCGUAAAAUGGAUUCGUCUGCCCAAGGAUGGGUCUGCGGCCUAUCAGGUAGUAGUGGGUGUAAUGUACCUACUAGCCUACGACGGGUACGGGUUGUGAGAGCAAGAGCCCGGAGAUGGAUUCUGAGACGUGAAUCCAGGCCCUACGGGGCGCAGCAGGCGCGAAAACUUUACAAUGCGGGAAACCGUGAUAAGGGGACACCGAGUGCCAGCAUCCUAUGCUGGCUGUCCGGGUGUGUAAAAUACACCUGUUAGCAAGGGCCGGGCAAGACCGGUGCCAGCCGCCGCGGUAACACCGGCGGCCCGAGUGGUGAUCGUGAUUAUUGGGUCUAAGGGGUCCGUAGCCGGUUUGGUCAGUCCUCCGGGAAAUCUGACAGCUCAACUGUUAGGCUUUCGGAGGAUACUGCCAGACUUGGAACCGGGAGAGGUAAGAGGUACUACAGGGGUAGGAGUGAAAUCUUGUAAUCCCUGUGGGACCACCUGUGGCGAAGGCGUCUUACCAGAACGGGUUCGACGGUGAGGGACGAAAGCUGGGGGCACGAACCGGAUUAGAUACCCGGGUAGUCCCAGCCGUAAACGAUGCUCGCUAGGUGUCAGGCAUGGCGCGACCGUGUCUGGUGCCGCAGGGAAGCCGUGAAGCGAGCCACCUGGGAAGUACGGCCGCAAGGCUGAAACUUAA